UCUAUGGUGUAGCAAGAUCACUCGAACUUUGGGAUUAUUACAAUAUUUUUUAGCACAAUGGCAUCUAGAAGUUAAGGCCCCACUGUGCUGAGAACUGCACAACCAAAGAGACCGUUCCUGCCCCGAAGCGCUUUCUGUUUCCCCUCUCACCAGAAAUGCGAAUUUGACCAGACCACUGAAAGAAAUACCCUGGUUGAGUUCAGUCUGGAUACCAAGCUGCAUCAGAGGAUCAAAAAGAAGGUGAAGUUCUCUUGUGUCAGGCGAAAAGCUGAUGUUUUGGACAGAAAGAUCAUUCUGAGUAAUUCAUAAUAAUAGCAGGGAGACUACAAAGCAGAUGCAGGUCUCAGAGUAUGGCUGGCCAGAAAACAAGAGUUCUAUUUUGAGAAAUAUUUUGAGGUUUCAACAUUUGGUUUUAUUCUGUAUAAGAACCAAAAACAGACCUUUCGAAAAUUUUCAUGAGGAAAGGAAAGAGAGAGACUACAACCCACCCACCCCAGAGCUUCUACAUCAGGCAGAGCAGGUACUUGAACUCUCCCACA